UACGUAGGGGGCUAGCGUUGUUCGGAAUUACUGGGCGUAAAGCGCGCGUAGGCGGUUAACUUUGUCAGAGGUGAAAUCCCGAGGCUCAACUUCGGAAUUGCCUUUGAAACGGGUUCGCUUGAGUCCGAGAGAGGUGGCGGAAUUCCUAGUGUAGAGGUGAAAUUCGUAGAUAUUAGGAAGAACACCGGUGGCGAAGGCGGCCAUCUGGCUCGGUACUGACGCUCAGGCGCGAAAGCGUGGGGAGCAAACAGG
rnacentral:rRNA from 1 species